rnacentral:rRNA from 1 species
AUUGAACGCUGGCGGCAGGCUUAACACAUGCAAGUCGAGCGGAGCGAGGGUGCUUGCACCUUAGCUUAGCGGCGGACGGGUGAGUAAUGCUUAGGAAUCUGCCUAUUAGUGGGGGACAACAUUCCGAAUGGAAUGCUAAUACCGCAUACGCCCUACGGGGGAAAGCAGGGGAUCUUCGGACCUUGCGCUAAUAGAUGAGCCUAAGUCGGAUUACCUAGUUGGUGGGGUAAAGGCCUACCAAGGCGACGAUCUGUAGCGGGUCUGAGAGGAUGAUCCGCCACACUGGGACUGAGACACGGCCCAGACUCCUACGGGAGGCAGCAGUGGGGAAUAUUGGACAAUGGGCGGAAGCCUGAUCUAGCCAUGCCGCGUGUGUGAAGAAGGCCUUUUGGUUGUAAAGCACUUUAAGCGAGGAGGAGGCUACUCAGAUUAAUACUCUGGGAUAGUGGACGUUACUCGCAGAAUAAGCACCGGCUAACUCUGUGCCAGCCGCCGCCGUAA